rnacentral:rRNA from 1 species
UACGUAGGGUGCGAGCGUUAAUCGGAAUUACUGGGCGUAAAGCGUGCGCAGGCGGUUUUGUAAGCCAGAUGUGAAAUCCCCGGGCUCAACCUGGGAAUUGCAUUCGAGACUGCACGGCUGGGGUGCGGAAGAGGGAAGCGGAAUUUCCGGUGUAGCGGUGAAAUGCGUAGAUAUCGGAAGGAACAUCAGUGGCGAAAGCGGCUUCCUGGUCCAGCACCGACGUUCAGGCACGAAAGCGUGGGGAGCAAACAGG